GAGCUCAUAGUUCAAUGGAUAGAAUUUUCGGCUUCGGACCGGACGAUGGGGGUUCGAAUCCUCCUGGGCUCG
rnacentral:tRNA from 1 species